rnacentral:rRNA from 1 species
GAUGAACGCUAGCGGCAGGCUUAACACAUGCAAGUCGAGGGGUAUAGUAGCAAUACUAGAGACCGGCGCACGGGUGCGUAACGCGUAUGCAACCUACCUUUUACAGAGGGAUAGCCCAGAGAAAUUUGGAUUAAUACCUCAUAGUGUUAUUAGAUGGCAUCAUUUGAUAACUAAAGUUCCAACGGUAAAGAUGGGCAUGCGUCCUAUUAGCUAGAUGGUAAGGUAACGGCUUACCAUGGCUACGAUAGGUAGGGGUCCUGAGAGGGAGAUCCCCCACACUGGUACUGAGACACGGACCAGACUCCUACGGGAGGCAGCAGUGAGGAAUAUUGGACAAUGGGCGCAAGCCUGAUCCAGCCAUGCCGCGUGCAGGAAGAAGCAUCUAUGGUGUGUAAACUGCUUUUGUACGGGAAGAAACACUCCUACGUGUAGGAGCUUGACGGUACCGUAAGAAUAAGGAUCGGCUAACUCCGUGCCAGCAGCCGCGGUAAAG